UAUUUCCUUCUUCAUAGUCCUCUGAUGUCCCCGAAUAUCCAACUGCCAAAGAAAUACUGCAUCCACUGCUACAAGCCUUCCUGACAAAUCAGAGAAAUUUAUAGUACAAGAUGUUGUAAGAAUAUAUGUAAUGAGAUUCUCUGUAGGUCUGGAAAUACUUCUAAAGUAAAAUUAGUGAUAUAAAUAUUAAAAGUUCUCUUUUAUCCAUAUUAUGGUUAAUUUUUUUGUAUCCUUUCAAAAGCUUUUGCUCCGGUAAUUCUAUGUAUACUAUAGAUUAGCAAAACCUCUAUCCUUAUGGUGUUGGUGCAUGA
rnacentral:misc_RNA from 1 species